rnacentral:rRNA from 1 species
CCUACGGGAGGCAGCAGUGGGGAAUAUUGCGCAAUGGGGGGAACCCUGACGCAGCAACGCCGCGUGAGUGAAGAAGGCCCUCGGGUUGUAAAGCUCUUUAAUCAGGGACGAAGAAUGACGGUAGCUGAAGAAUAAGCUCCGGCUAACUACGUGCCAGCAGCCGCGGUAAUUCGUAGGGAGCAGGCGUUAUCCGGAUUUACUGGGUGUAACGGGCGUGUAGGCGGGCCUGCAAGUCAGAAGUGAAAUCUGGGGGCUUAACCCCCAAACUGCUUUUGAAACUGUGGGUCUUGAGUGAUGGAGAGGCAGGCGGAAUUCCCAGUGUAGCGGUGAAAUGCGUAGAUAUGGGGAGGAACACCAGUGGCGAAGGCGGCCUGCUGGACAUUAACUGACGCUGAGGCGCGAAAGCGUGGGGAGCGAACAGGAUUAGAUACCCUGGUAGUC